rnacentral:rRNA from 1 species
GUUGUAUGGUUAAGUAACAAAGCGUAUACGGUGGAUGCCUAGGCAGUUAGAGGCGAUGAAGGACGUGUAAGUCUGCGAAAAGCUGUGGUGAGCUGACAAAACGCAUUUGAGCCACAGAUGUCCGAAUGGGGAAACCCAGUGCAUUUAUGCAUUAUCACUUAGUGAAUACAUAGCUAAGUGAGGCGAACCGGGAGAACUGAAACAUCUAAGUACCCCGAGGAAAAGAAAUCAACCGAGAUUCCCCUAGUAGCGGCGAGCGAACGGGGAGUAGCCCUUAAGUUAUCAGUGUUUUAGUGGAAGGCUCUGGAAAGUGCCGCCAUAGUGGGUGAUAGCCCCGUACACAAAGGAACGCUGAUAGUGAAAUCGAGUAGGUCGGGACACGUGUUAUCUUGACUGAACAUGGGGGGACCAUCCUCCAAGGCUAAAUACUCCUAACUGACCGAUAGUGAACCAGUACCGUGAGGGAAAGGCGAAAAGAACCCCUGUGAGGGGAGUGAAAUAGAACCUGAAACCGUAUACGUACAAGCAGUCGGAGCCCUUCGGGGUGACGGCGUACCUUUUGUAUAAUGGGUCAGCGACUUAUAUUUAGUAGCGAGGUUAACCGAUUAGGGGAGCCGUAGCGAAAGCGAGUGUUAACUGCGCGUUCAGUUGCUAGGUAUAGACCCGAAACCCGGUGAUCUAGCCAUGGGCAGGUUGAAGGUUGAGUAACAUCAACUGGAGGACCGAACUCACUAAUGUUGAAAAAUUAGGAGAUGACUUGUGGCUGGGGGUGAAAGGCCAAUCAAACCGGGAGAUAGCUGGUUCUCCCCGAAAGCUAUUUAGGUAGCGCCUCGGACGAACACCUACGGGGGUAGAGCACUGUUUGGGCUAGGGGGUCAUCCCGACUUACCAACCCCAUGCAAACUCCGAAUACCGUAGAGUGCUAUCCGGGAGACACACGGCGGGUGCUAACGUCCGUCGUGAAGAGGGAAACAACCCAGACCGCCAGCUAAGGUCCCAAAAUAUUGCUAAGUGGGAAACGAUGUGGAAAGGCCCAGACAGCUAGGAGGUUGGCUUAGAAGCAGCCACCCUUUAAAGAAAGCGUAAUAGCUCACUAGUCGAGUCGGUCUGCGCGGAAGAUGUAACGGGGCUAAGCAAUAUACCGAAGCUGCGGCAGCAUACUAAGUAUGCUGGGUAGGGGAGCGUUGUGUAAGUGGCUGAAGGUGACUCGAGAGGGUUGCUGGACAUAUCACAAGUGCGAAUGCUGACAUGAGUAACGAUAAAGGGGGUGAAAAACCCCCUCGCCGGAAGACCAAGGUUUCCUGUCCCAUGCUAAUCAGGGCAGGGUAAGUCGGCCCCUAAGGCGAGGCCGAAAGGCGUAGUCGAUGGGAAACGGGUUAAUAUUCCCGUACCGGUAUUAUCAGUGAAGGGGGGACGGAGAAGGCUAUGCAGGCAUGGCGUUGGUAGUCCAUGUGAAAGUGCGUAGGGAGAUGAAUUAGGUAAAUCCGGUUCAUUAAUUCUGAGACACGAGACGAGUCACUACGGUGAUGAAGUUGCAGAUGCCCUGCUUCCAGGAAAAGCCUCUAAGCUUAUGAUAAUACUGACCGUACCCCAAACCGACACAGGUGGUCAGGUAGAGAAUACCAAGGCGCUUGAGAGAACUCGGGUGAAGGAACUCGGCAAAAUAGUACCGUAACUUCGGGAGAAGGUACGCCCCUGUUUGUGAAGGCUUUACGCCGUAAGCGAAUGGGGGCCGCAGUGACCAGGUGGCUGGGACUGUUUAUUAAAAACACAGCACUGUGCUAAAUCGAAAGAUGACGUAUACGGUGUGACACCUGCCCGGUGCCGGAAGGUUAAUUGAUGGGGUUAGCUUAGGCGAAGCUCUUGAUCGAAGCCCCGGUAAACGGCGGCCGUAACUAUAACGGUCCUAAGGUAGCGAAAUUCCUUGUCGGGUAAGUUCCGACCUGCACGAAUGGUGUAACCAUGGCCACGCUGUCUCCACCCGAGACUCAGUGAAAUUGAAAUUGCCGUGAAGAUGCGGUGUACCCGCGGCUAGACGGAAAGACCCCGUGAACCUUUACUACAGCUUGGCACUGAACAUUGACCCUACAUGUGUAGGAUAGGUGGGAGGCUAUGAAGCAUUGUCGCCAGAUGAUGUGGAGCUGCCCUUGAAAUACCACCCUUGUAUGUUUGAUGUUCUAACGUUGUCCCAUUAUCUGGGAUGCGGACAGUGUCUGGUGGGUAGUUUGACUGGGGCGGUCUCCUCCCAAAGCGUAACGGAGGAGCACGAAGGUUGGCUAAUCCUGGUCGGACAUCAGGAGGUUAGUGUAAUGGCAUAAGCCAGCUUAACUGCGAGACAGACACGUCGAGCAGGUACGAAAGUAGGUCAUAGUGAUCCGGUGGUUCUGAAUGGAAGGGCCAUCGCUCAACGGAUAAAAGGUACUCCGGGGAUAACAGGCUGAUACCGCCCAAGAGUUCAUAUCGACGGCGGUGUUUGGCACCUCGAUGUCGGCUCAUCACAUCCUGGGGCUGAAGUCGGUCCCAAGGGUAUGGCUGUUCGCCAUUUAAAGUGGUACGCGAGCUGGGUUUAGAACGUCGUGAGACAGUUCGGUCCCUAUCUGCCGUGGGCGCUGGAUGAUUGAGGGGAGCUGCUCCUAGUACGAGAGGACCGGAGUGGACGAACCGCUGGUGUUCGGGUUGUCAUGCCAAUGGCACUGCCCGGUAGCUACGUUCGGAAUCGAUAACCGCUGAAAGCAUCUAAGCGGGAAGCGAGCCCCAAGAUGAGUCAUCCCUGACAGUUUACUGUCCUGAAGGGUUGUCUGAGACUAAGACGUUGAUAGGCAGGGUGUGGAAGCGUUGUAAGGCGUUAAGCUAACCUGUACUAAUUGCCCGUGAGGCUUAACCAUACAACACCCAA